GCCGCGGUAUUUUGACCGUGCGAAGGUAGCAUAAUCAUUAGUCUUUUAAUUGAAGGCUUGUAUGAAGGGUUGGACGAGAAAUAAGCUGUCUUUAUUGGAAAAAUAGAAUUUAACUUUUAAGUGAGAGGGCUUAAAUGUUCUAAAGGGACGAUAAGACCCUAUAAAGUUUGACAUUUUAUUCAUUAAAAAAUAAAAUAAUUAAUUAAUUUUUAUUAGUGGAGUAGUGUUUUGUUGGGGCGAUUAGAAUAUAAAAAAUUUAACUGUUUUAUAUUAAUACAAAGUUGUUUGAGUGUCUUGAUCCUUAAUAAAGGUAUUAGAGUAAAUUACUUUAGGGAUAACAGCGUAAUUUUUUUUGAGAGUUCUUAUCGACAAAAAAGUUUGCGACCUCGAUGUUGAAUUAAAGAAUUCUUUAUAGCGCAGAAGUUAUAAAAGAAGGUCUGUUCGACCUUUAAAUCUUUACAU
rnacentral:rRNA from 1 species